rnacentral:rRNA from 1 species
AACGGAGGGUGCAAGCGUUGUUCGGAAUUACUGGGCGUAAAGCGCGUGCAGGUGGUUUUUUAAGUUUCGUGUGAAAUCCCAUGGCUUAACCAUGGAACGGCACGGAAAACUGGAAGGCUUGAGUACGGGAGAAGAGGGCGGAAUUCCCAGUGUAGCGGUGAAAUGCGCAGAUAUCAGGAGGAACACCGGUGGCGAAGGCGGGUCUCUGGGCCGAUACUGACGCUGAGGAGCGAAAGCGUGGGGAGCGAACAGG